rnacentral:lncRNA from 1 species
UGUAAAUAAAGAAAUGGAUAGCUGUCAUAGAUUGCAUAAAACACUUCUGAUUUCUCAUCAAAUAUGCAUUGAUCUGUCUAAAAUGUGCCUUCAGACUUUUGUUAAAUCAGUUCAAGUAAGAUUGAGAAUUCAUUAUAUCAAUCGAGAACUUCCAGUGGAAUUAAUGCAAACGAUUUUUUUCUAAGUAUGCUAGAAAUUUGAAUAAUGAACUUAUUGUGAUGAUGUAUUCCUAUUGUAUUGUUGAAACGAAAUUUUAAAAUAGAAAUAAGUGAGUGGUUGAUGAUAUUUUUUUACUUUAAAUGUUGAAAAGAGGAUUUUUUAUAAAGAGGGGGGAAAGGUACAAAGGGAGCAGUAAAAAUUCUUCAGUGCAAUAAAAGCAGACAACACUGGCCAAAAAAAGAAAAACGGAUGAAAAGCCAAAUAAAAUUUUACAAAACACUAGGAAGAAAACUAAGGAUUUAUCAACAAAAAUACUUUUUUCAAGUCUUGGGGUCUUUAUAAAUGUAGUUUUUGCAAAUAAAC